rnacentral:rRNA from 1 species
AGUCGAGGGGCAGCGGGGGCGUAGCAAUAUGCCUGCCGGCGACCGGCGCACGGGUGAGUAACACGUAUGUAACCUGCCCUAUGCAGGGGGAUAACCCGGAGAAAUCCGGCCUAAUACCGCGUAACACCUUUUGGGAGCAUUUCUGGGAGGUUAAAGGAGAGAUCCGGCAUAGGAUGGACAUGCGUCGCAUUAGGUAGACGGCGGGGUAACGGCCCACCGUGCCGACGAUGCGUAGGGGUUCUGAGAGGAAGGCCCCCCACACUGGUACUGAGACACGGACCAGACUCCUACGGGAGGCAGCAGUGAGGAAUAUUGGUCAAUGGCCGAGAGGCUGAACCAGCCAAGUCGCGUGAGGGAAGAAUGUCCUAAGGAUUGUAAACCUCUUUUGUCGGGGAGCAAAAGGGCUCUGCGGAGUCGUAUUGAGAGUACCCGAAGAAAAAGCAUCGGCUAACUCCGUGCCAGCAGCCGCGGUAAUACGGAGGAUGCGAGCGUUAUCCGGAUUUAUUGGGUUUAAAGGGUGCGCAGGCGGCGUGUCAAGCAAGCGGUAAAAUAGCGGGGCUCAACCCCGUCGAGCCGUUUGAACUGGCGCGCUUGAGUUCAGGCGAGGUAGGCGGAAUUCGUGGUGUAGCGGUGAAAUGCAUAGAUAUCACGAAGAACUCCGAUUGCGAAGGCAGCUUACCAGUCUGCGACUGACGCUCAGGCACGAAAGUGUGGGUAUCGAACAGGAUUAGAUACCCUGGUAGUCCACACAGUAAACGAUGAGCGCUAGGUGUCCGGGUCGCAUGAGACUUGGGUGCCCGAGCGAAAGCGUUAAG